GCCCCGCUGGCGGAAUCGGCAUACGCGCUGGUCUCAGGAACCAGUCCUUCCGGGUUCGAAUCCCGGGCGGGGUACCA
rnacentral:tRNA from 1 species